rfam:Termitomyces sp. J132 unplaced genomic scaffold scaffold23, whole genome shotgun sequence.
CCGAUCUUAGCUCAGUUGGUAGAGCGCGAGACUGUAAUUGGAUACUUAUCUUGAGGUCGCCUGUUCGAUCCAGGCAGGUCGGA